rnacentral:rRNA from 1 species
GAUGAACGCUGGCGGCGUGCCUAAUACAUGCAAGUCGAGCGAACAGACGAGGAGCUUGCUCCUUCGACGUUAGCGGCUGACGGGUGAGUAACACGUAGGUAACCUACCUAUAAGACUGGGAUAACUUCGGGAAACCGGAGCUAAUACCGGAUAAUAUUUCGAACCGCAUGGUUCGAUAGUGAAAGAUGGCUUUGCUAUCACUUAUAGAUGGACCUGCGCCGUAUUAGCUAGUUGGUAAGGUAACGGCUUACCAAGGCAACGAUACGUAGCCGACCUGAGAGGGUGAUCGGCCACACUGGAACUGAGACACGGUCCAGACUCCUACGGGAGGCAGCAGUAGGGAAUCUUGCGCAAUGGGCGAAAGCCUGACGGAGCAACGCCGCGUGAGUGAUGAAGGUCUUCGGAUCGUAAAACUCUGUUAUUAGGGAAGAACAAACGUGUAAGUAACUGUGCACGUCUUGACGGUACCUAAUCAGAAAGCCACGGCUAACUACGUG